GUCCUAGCUGUAAACGAUGGACACUAGGUGUUGGUGGUAUCAACCCCGCCAGUGCCGUAGCUAACGCAUUAAGUGUCCCGCCUGGGGAGUACGGCCGCAAGGCUAAAAACUCAAAGGAAUUGACGGGGCCCCGCACAAGCAGCGGAGCGUGGGGUUUAAUUCGAUGCAACGCGAAGAACCUUACCAAGGCUUGACAUGACCAGGACAACGGCGGAAACGUCGUCUUCCCGCGAGGGACCUGGCCACAGGUGUUGCAUGGCUGUCGU
rnacentral:rRNA from 1 species